UACGUAGGGUGCAAGCGUUGUCCGGAAUUAUUGGGCGUAAAGAGCUCGUAGGCGGUCCGUCACGUCGGCUGUGAAAACCCGGGGCUCAACCCCGGGCCUGCAGUCGAUACGGGCGGACUAGAGUUCGGCAGGGGAGACUGGAAUUCCUGGUGUAGCGGUGAAAUGCGCAGAUAUCAGGAGGAACACCGGUGGCGAAGGCGGGUCUCUGGGCCGAUACUGACGCUGAGGAGCGAAAGCGUGGGGGAGCGAACAGGAUUAGAUCGC
rnacentral:rRNA from 1 species